rnacentral:rRNA from 1 species
GAUGAACGCUAGCGGCAGGCCUAAUACAUGCAAGUCGAACGGUGUCUUCGGACAUAGUGGCGCACGGGUGCGUAACACGUAUGCAACCUACCUUACAUUGGGGGAUAGCCUUUCGAAAGGGAGAUUAAUACCGCAUAAGACAGUAGCUGGGCAUCCAGCAGCUGUUAAAGAUUUAUCGAUGUAAGCUGGGCAUGCGUCCAAUUAGCUAGUUGGUGAGGUAAAGGCUAACCAAGGCAAUGAUUGGUAGGGGAACUGAGAGGUCAAUCCCCCACACUGUCACUGAGAUACGGGCCAGACGCCAUCUGGAGGAAGCAGUUGGGAAGAUUGGGCAAUGGACGCAAGUCUGACCCAGCCAUGCCGCGCGCAGGAUGAAGGCGUUAUGCGUUGUAAACUGCUUUUAUACAGGAAGAAACGACUCUUGCGAGAGCCAUUGACGGUACUGUAUGAAUAAGCACCGGCUAACUCCGUGCCAGCCGCCGCCGUAAUAC